rnacentral:rRNA from 1 species
UACAGAGGGGGCAAGCGUUGUUCGGAAUUACUGGGCGUAAAGGGCGCGUAGGCGGCCUGCUAAGUCGAACGUGAAAUCCCCGGGCUCAACCCGGGAACUGCGUCCGAUACUGGCAGGCUUGAAUUCGGGAGAGGGAUGCGGAAUUCCAGGUGUAGCGGUGAAAUGCGCAGAUAUCAGGAGGAACACCAAUGGCGAAGGCAGCUCGCUGGGACGGUACUGACGCUGAGGCGCGAAAGCGUGGGGAGCAAACAGG